UCGCUGUCUUCAAGUAUUUGAAACAGACAGCUACAAAUGAGGCGAUUUUGUGCAGUUCCGAAUUGCGGGAAAAUUCAUAGCAAAAGUUGUCACAGACUUCCUUUUAACGAUCCAGAAAGGCUAAACUUGUGGCUGGAAUUUCUGGGGUUGGAUGUGAGCACACCUGUUGAGAAUCUGCAGAAAACUGAUCACCGUGUCUCUGCGGUCUGCAUUUUACUGAACUUCUUCGCCUGAGAAAUACAGCGGUUCCCACAUUACCUCCUGGGACGACAGAGUUGGAAGAACUUGGGGGACUUUCCUCCAUUUCAGAUGAAAGAUGGCAGGACUCUAACUCAUCUCCCCCUCUUCAAUGGUAUCAGCCGUGGUGUUGACAGAGGUCAAAGUCCAUGGUGAAAUAUAAGAGAUGUCCUGCACGACAGAGACAGUGGGACUCCCUGUCACAGUGGAAUUUCCACAUUGGUCAGUCAUUUCACACAAAACAAGGACACCAUGGAUCCUCACCUGCCAGGGAUUACUGCUGCCAGCUUUCCUUCCUUUCUUUAGCCAACCUGGUGGCUGGUGACUCAUACAGUUAUUAGUAGUAUGAAAUUUUGUCAAAUAUAUAAUAUACCGGUAACUUUUCACAAAAAGUGUCCACUAUAAUGAAAACAAGUACACAAAUUUGCACAAACAUUCAGCAGUUACUCCCACCAUGCAGGAAACACAUACACACAUGGCAACAGACAGACACACACACAAACACAAACAGCAGCAACAGAGGUCUUAGUCAUCCCUGACAUACAAAUCCCUGUCUUAAAUUUUCAUUAAAAGGAAAAUGCUCAGUCUGAAAGGGCUACAUCGGCUGCCCAGGGCCAAACACACACACACACACAUACAGUGGCCGUCCUACAUACUGUAUCAUGAGUCACCAUCUCCAGAGCUCCAUGUGUUUGGGCUUACUGGUGUGUGUGUACUGUAUGUCUGUGUGUGUGUGUGUGUGUGUGUGUGUGUGUGUGUGUGUUUCCCUGGGAGUAAUUUGGAGGAGGUCAGCAGAAGGGGAGAGUAGAGGAGAGAUAGAGAUAGAGUCAAAGAGGGAGAAAUAGAAGCAGGGAGAUAUGGGAGAGCAGAUGAAGGUGGAGAGGACCAGAUGUGGAGGAUGGAGAUGAGCACAGCUCUGAGGUAUGGACACUGUGUAUGGAAAGAAAGAUGCCAUGAGAGAGAUACUGUAUGAAGACAUAAUAAUAUGUAAUAACACCACUAUCUUCUCCUUACUGGUGGUUUCCAUUGUAUUUAAAUUACACAGAAUGACACCUUUUGCUUGUGAAUAAUUGUUCCAGCAUGUGAGUUAGUGUAUCUGUUUCAUUCCAGUUUGAAUGGUGUAUAAAUUAUGUGUCCGAAUGCAUCACUGUGAUGGGUGAAUAAAGCGUCUGCUCUCUGUGUUAGUGUUCACAGGGUCAGAAUGACUCUCUCGAGGCCAGCUGGAGUCAAUGCUUAAGGAGGAGAUGAAAAGGGACAAAAGAGAGAGAGAGAGAGAGAGAGAGAUAACGCACUCUUUUCUUAAAGAAGGAGCAGAACACAAGGUCUGGCCCUGUUGAAGAUGGGCGACCAAAGUGUACCAUGACGUGCAGAGAGAACAAUGUUCAUCUCACCAACAAAAGUUGACCUUGGAGGUUUCAUGACCAGCAAUGUUCUUCUCAACAAAGCAAGUUGGCGUUUGGAAGUUUGGUUGGACUUUUUUGGUCAGGAAGGUGACACACCAGACCGCCACAGAGAGCAUUAUAAACGGAGAAAAAACGUCACAGAUGAUUCACCCAAGUUAUUUUUGUAUUGCCAAAAGGCAGCUCUUCAUUUUUUUUCUCAUUGACUGUAGUGCUGCAACUGUUUCAGCUACCAUGCAGAGGAUGUGACAUUUCCCUUUUUCCAGAAAGAUCCAGAGCAGACAGCAGAAAUUACAACCAAAGCUUGUUCUCAUUCGGGGAUUGGCAUGGCCCAUGUAAGUUUUGUGCAAUGAGUCACUGGAAAACUGGGACCCCGAAUGACUGGCCCUCCUGCUUUAACUGCGGGCAUCCCUCAGGGGAUUCUAAUUUUGCACAAAGUAACCCUGACCCUGGCCUGGUUCACCUCUCGUUUCAACUAUGGCUGUAAAGCUGAGUUCAAAUCAAGACGUGGCUUUUCGCAGUUUGCCUGCUCAGCGGAGCAGUUGCUCAUCACUUGCCUCCUAUAAUGAUAGCAGGCAACAGAUAACAGCUGUCUCAGGAGUGGCCCGCGGUCUGACCCGGCUUCGAUCUGCUUCAGCGGCUCCGAGUCUGUCCCAGAGUCAGCAGCAAACUGGGUUACCAGUAUCCAGAGACCAUUUAUAGUUUAUAAAACAAAAGAGAGAGAAAACAGCGAUUCAGAGAUGAAGGGAAGCUGAAACAUCUCUGACCAGAAUCCUUGCUCUAUGGAGACAGGGUGGAGUAGAUGCUGUUAGGAAAUGGAGCUUGGCUCCUGCACCUGCACGCACAUAAUGAAGAGCUGGUUCCUUGGAAACCCACCACAAGCAAAAAGGUCACUUCAGUUUCCUCUGAACAGAUGAAUAUGUGUGCUACAAAUCAAGGCUUGUUUUGUGUGUCCAGUUCCACGUCUUAUAUCCAGUACUCUCCUUUUUUAUAUCUUUAUAUCAGAUUCAAGUGAUUUCAGAUUAUUUGAUCAUAACACUCCCAAAAACAGAAAUCUAUAAGACAUGAUAUGAUUAUUACUGAAGUAUACCACUAACCCAGUAAUGCUUUGUGAGUUUGGCCAAAGGAAUACAUUUUUCACUGGUUUGACCAAUAGCUUAAUCUUAGGCGGGCCAGCACUCCCACACACCACAUGGUAGCUUCAGUUCAUACAUGAGACAUUUUGAUCAUUGCCUGAAUUUGCUCUUUGAUGGCCAUUGAAAUGAAGGGUGCAGUAGGUAAUGGGUCUCUAACCUGCUGAGGAGCUAGCUUUGACCAAUCAUGGUGCAUGUGUGAGGGACCAAAGCUGCUCUAAGCAAUGCUGGGCAACGUCACUUCUGUUGACUUUCAAACAAAACAGACAGCUAGCUCCCUACUUCCUCCCCCUCCCUCCCGUGCUG